rnacentral:rRNA from 1 species
UACGGAGGGUGCAAGCGUUAAUCGGAUUUAUUGGGCGUAAAGGGCGCGUAGGCUGGCGAAUAAGUCAGAUGUGAAAUCCUGAGGCUUAACCUCAGAGCUGCAUUUGAAACUAUUUGUCUAGAGGGUAGGCGGAGAAAACGGAAUUCCACAAGUAGCGGUGAAAUGCGUAGAUAUGUGGAAGAACACCGGUGGCGAAGGCGGUUUUCUAGCUUACUCCUGACGCUGAGGCGCGAAAGUUAGGGGAUCAAACAGG